rnacentral:lncRNA from 1 species
UUUUCAAGUCUUUGAUUCGCUUUACAAACCAAAAACAUAAGAGCGGCGAUAAUUCACUGUUUGUUUAUAUUUUCUCUUUUCCUUUUGCUUUAGUUUUCAUUAUACUGUUCUUACUUUAUUUUACUCCUUUUUAGAAGAAAAUUUAUGCCACUCAAUUUACUCAGUAAAGAGUUAAGUAUAUUAUUUUUUAAAGUGCAUACUAAUUUUUUUAAUCACAUAUAUUGAAAGGAAGAUAGUAGUAUUUUAUUAGACAACAAAAAUUCAACAUACGAACAUACAUUCCACAUUAAAAUAUUUGAGAACUUAUUUUUAUUCUUUCUUUCAUUAAGGAGGCAAGAAGUGGUCAGCAUUUGAGAUUUUUGUAGUAAAAUAAUUGAUUAUCGUUAGGGAGCAGACAUAUUUUGGGUCACUUUUGGAAGUGGAAUAAUCUGAUAGCAACUUUGUUUGCACAGUUAUUGGUGUAAGUUAGUUCUCUUCUGCUUUAAAGGUCAACAAGUAGGGGAAUAUGAUCUGAAUUAAAGUGACCUACUUUGAAGGCUCUCUGAGCUAUUAGUAUAUUUUCUGGGUUUUUGGAUUUGGCGCUGACAAAGAUGGGAGAAUAUUUAUGACCCCUUUUGCCCAUCUGGGUCAUGCAAGAACUCGGUUCAAAAUUUUCCAUUUUGUCUUUUUUUGGGUGAUUUAGGGAACUGGGGUUCAGUUCUUGGUUGAUUAUUGGGGGUCUCUAGAGAUUAUAAGAUGAUAUGUUAGGAGACAGGUGACAAAUUUUUGGGCCUAUUUGUGGGGGUGGG